rnacentral:rRNA from 1 species
AGUGAACGCUGGCGGUAGGCCUAACACAUGCAAGUCGAACGGCAGCACAGUAAGAGCUUGCUCUUACGGGUGGCGAGUGGCGGACGGGUGAGGAAUACAUCGGAAUCUACUUUUUCGUGGGGGAUAACGUAGGGAAACUUACGCUAAUACCGCAUACGACCUACGGGUGAAAGCAGGGGAUCUUCGGACCUUGCGCGAUUGAAUGAGCCGAUGUCGGAUUAGCUAGUUGGCGGGGUAAAGGCCCACCCAGGCGACGAUCCGUAGCUGGUCUGAGAGGAUGAUCAGCGACACUGGAACGGAGACACGGUCCAGACUCCUACGGGAGGCAGCAGUGGGGAAUAGUGGACAAUGGGCGCAAGCCUGAUCCAGCCAUACCGCGUGGGUGAAGAAGGCCUUCGGGUUGUAAAGCCCUUUUGUUGGGAAAGAAAAGCAGCAGGUUAAUACCCCGCUGUUCUGACGGUACCCAAAGAAUAAGCACCGGCUAACUUCGUG